UUAAAAAUAUGGUGCAAAAAUAAUGAACCUAUUAAAUUGAAAAUGCAUCGACAUAGCGGCACCACACUAACGUUUCAGGAGACGCCUCCUGAACGUUUGAUCAUCAUAAUCAACUUCAAAAUCUAUUAUCUGAAUUUCAAAUUUGGCACAAAAUUAGCGCUACCAACAGAAAUACUUAAAAUUUUAACUCCAACUUUCCAGUAAAAGUUUUAAGUAACAAACAUAGUGAAUUUAUUCACUUAUUUCCGGGAAAAACAACUUAUAUUUUCGUCUUACAUCUGAGGUUUUCUAUAGACUGAAUUGACAAUUAAAGUAUUGGAGGCAGAAGGGUGGCUGUCUUGCGGCGUUCGUCAACUGUUGAUGUCAACAUAACCUCUAAAGGUAACACGAGUUAGUUCGAGCCGGUUUGUGGGCCUAGACUGUAUGUGUGUCAAUUUUUUAACUUUUCAAUGUAUUCAUGUGAGAAACUUCUGAUCAAUCAGUGUGGAGUCGUUAGAAUAAGUGGCGGAGUGCGAAAUGCAGUUAAAACGUAGACGAUUUGUGGACUUUUUAUCUCAUGAUCGUGCGACCCUGGUAUUUGUUUAUAAAUUAACUUAGGUGGAAAUCUUCCUAGUUUAUUCCUAUUGAGAAAGAAAUGUAGACUAGUUACCACCAGGUAAAAUUUUCUUAACCCGUACCUUAUGUUUCACAAUAACUUUCAGAACAGAACACCAAUAUUGACCUCUUUUUAUUUUUGCAGGACUAAAUUGGAGGUGAACAUGUCAUCAUUGCCCCGUACUAAAGUAUCACUCACCCACCAAGACAAUCUAUUGGAGAAUAAUUUUCACAGGAUUUGAGCAAUACUGCAGUGUUUCAAAUAAGUUAAUGAGAAGAGUGUGCGCAAGUCUAUUUUCUACAGUUCUUGGCAAACGCAAUUGUGCUAUUGCAUCAUUAGAAAAAUAAAUAUUGUUUACUGAA